UGGAGAGUUUGAUCCUGGCUCAGGACGAACGCUGGCGGCGUGCUUAACACAUGCAAGUCGAACGGAAAGGCCCUUCGGGGUGCUCGAGUGGCGAACGGGUGAGUAACACGUGGGUGAUCUGCCCUGCACUUUGGGAUAAGCCUGGGAAACUGGGUCUAAUACCGGAUAGGACCACGGUCUGCAUGGAUUGUGGUGGAAAGCUUUUGCGGUGUGGGAUGGGCCCGCGGCCUAUCAGCUUGUUGGUGGGGUGAUGGCCUACCAAGGCGACGACGGGUAGCCGGCCUGAGAGGGUGACCGGCCACACUGGGACUGAGAUACGGCCCAGACUCCUACGGGAGGCAGCAGUGGGGAAUAUUGCACAAUGGGCGCAAGCCUGAUGCAGCGACGCCGCGUGAGGGAUGACGGCCUUCGGGUUGUAAACCUCUUUCAGCACAGACGAAGCGGCAAGUGACGGUAUGUGCAGAAGAAGGACCGGCCAACUACGUGCCAGCAGCCGCGGUA
rnacentral:rRNA from 1 species